UUUCCUGAUUUUAAUAUUAUAUCACCUCAUUUUAUGUUAUUAUUGCUAUAUACAAAGAUAUAAACAUACAUCAUAUUAUCAAAAAAUUAUAUACUAUCACUAUGUAUUAAUGAUGCUACAAAAAAUUAUCACAAUGCUAAUAAUCAUAUCCGAACCUAAGUUAGUGACUAAAAACAAAUCCAAACCUAACAUCAGUGACUAAAAGGAAAAAAAAUUUAGUUGAGUGGCAAG
rnacentral:lncRNA from 1 species